rnacentral:rRNA from 1 species
CUACGGGACGCUCCAGUAGGGAAUCUUGCUCAAUGGGCGAAAGCCUGAAGCAGCGACGCCGCGUGCGGGAUGAAGGCCCUCGGGUCGUAAACCGCUUUCAGCAGGAACGAAAUUGACGGUACCUGCAGAAGAAGCCCCGGCCAACUACGUGCCAGCAGCCGCGGUGAUACGUAGGGGGCAAGCGUUGUCCGGAUUUAUUGGGCGUAAAGAGCUCGUAGGCGGUUCGGUAAGUCGGGUGUGAAAUAUCAGGGCUCAACCCUGAGAGGCCACUCGCUACUGCUGUGACUAGAGUCCGGUAGAGGAGUGUGGAAUUCCUGGUGUAGCGGUGAAAUGCGCAGAUAUCAGGAGGAACACCCAUGGCGAAGGCAGCACUCUGGACCGGAACUGACGCUGAGGAGCGAAAGCGUGGGGAGCGAACAGGAUUAGAUACCCGUGUAGUC